GAUGAACGCUGGCGGCGUGCUUAACACAUGCAAGUCGAACGAUGAUGCCCAGCUUGCUGGGUGGAUUAGUGGCGAACGGGUGAGUAACACGUGAGUAACCUGCCCUUGACUCUGGGAUAAGCCUGGGAAACUGGGUCUAAUACCGGAUACGACCAUCUGGCGCAUGUCAUGGUGGUGGAAAGCUUUUGUGGUUUUGGAUGGACUCGCGGCCUAUCAGCUUGUUGGUGGGGUAAUGGCCUACCAAGGCGACGACGGGUAGCCGGCCUGAGAGGGUGACCGGCCACACUGGGACUGAGACACGGCCCAGACUCCUACGGGAGGCAGCAGUGGGGAAUAUUGCACAAUGGGCGCAAGCCUGAUGCAGCGACGCCGCGUGAGGGAUGACGGCCUUCGGGUUGUAACCUCUUUCAGUAGGGAAGAAGCGAAAGUGACGGUACCUGCAGAAGAAGCGCCGGCUAACUACGUG
rnacentral:rRNA from 1 species